CAGAAGCCAGAGUGCCCAGAUCACUGGCAGGAGGCUGAUGGAUGAGGUCAGAGAGGUGUCACGAGGGACCUGGUAGGCUCCAGUUUUAUUCUAAUUUGAGUGUUAAGACACGGGGUUAUAGACGCUUGCUUUUGAAUUGUCAGCCGUAGUAAGCAAAAAAUGCCCCCAAAGAUGGCAGGUGCUAAUCUCUGGAACCAGAGAACCUGCACCCCAGUCUACUCAGAUUCCUUCACUUCUUCCUCCAGCUCAAGGUCCAUUGUUGCCAGCAGAAUCGUGGGGACAUGUCUUGAGGUCUUCUGUCCCUUUGGCUACGAAGGACGUCGCUGUUAACUGCAGCUUCCAUACGUCUGAGCUGAGACCUUUGGGACUCUUCUGCUUUCUGGCCGAACAUCCUGCCUGCAGACCUUGGCUGGCACUUGACCAUAGAGACCGUGAGCCACUCUUCCUGUACAUCACCGACGAUCUUCCACCUGCUGUGGCUUCUCCCGCUUUGAGGUGGUACCUGCACAGGUGGACGGGCUGGGUGGCUAAGGGAGCAGAAAGAGCUCUUGGGUGAGGAGAGGCAUGAGUGGGAAAGGCUGGUAGAGA
rnacentral:lncRNA from 1 species